rnacentral:lncRNA from 1 species
GUUGUUUUUGUUUCAGCCCGCCGGUUGUUUUUCGCGGAUGCGACACUUAGUAAUGGGCAUUGUUGGGCUUUUAGCAUGGAAAGCCCAAAUUGAUGUAUUGCUUGCAAUUAGAAGGGGGUGCAACAUGCUUUAGGGCGUGUGACAAGGUGGGCCAUGCCCAAACUCAGCAAGCAAAGGGGAAGGAGUUCAAAAACUCUCCUCAUUUCCAUUUUCCCCUCUGAAUACCUUAUCCCUUCUCUAAUUCGCCUACGCCAAAAAUCGC